UGUCUGAAGUACUACAAAUUUUUUAAAACUUUAGUAAUAUAAGUUGCUUAUUUAAUGGAUUAACAUGAUAGAAAUUGGGAGUAGAGUAAAACAAAAUUAAAUAAAACACAUGCUAGAGAUAAAGACAUCAUAGGCUGCGAGUAGGUGAGUGAUAACAUUGACAGUGUUGCAUGCAUGGAAAAGACAGUACACCACAAAAAACAAACAAGCUCGGUGAUCCAUACCCUAUUAGCCUAUGCCCUACCGGUAUACAUUACAAUCCAGCAUCAUAGUGACUUGCAUGGGCGUCUGCAGGUGGGGUAAAGGAGGUACUUGCCCCCCUCCUGGAUUUUUCAGCUUGUUCUGCUAUUUGUCAUGUGAGAUUGAAAAUACAGUGCAAUACCAUACUGUUUAUGGAGAGAGACAGAGAAAGGAAGCUACAUCUUAUCCCUGCUUCUCUCUCCUGACUGAAUCCGCAGGGGAGCAGCACAUGCAGCCAGAGACAGCCUACAGAUCAGGUAAGUGAGGCAUGGGGAGGGCAGACUAUAGAUCAGGUCAGUGAGGCAUGGGGGGAGAGAGAGCCUACAGAUCAGGUAAGUGAGGGAUGGGGGUGCAGACUAUGGGGGGCAGCCUAUAGAUCAGAGAAGUGAGGCAUGGGGGGGAGAGAGAGCCUACAGAUCAGGUAAGUGAGGGAUGGGGGAGCUGCCUAUAGAUCAGGGUAGUGAAGCAUUGGGGGACAGACUAUAGAUCAUGGAAGUGAGGCAUUAGGAGGCAGUCUAUAGAACAGUGAAGUGAGACAUGGGGGGCAGCCUAUACAUUUGGGAAGUGAGGUAGGGGGGAGUGGGAGACAGCCUAUAUAUCAGGUAAGUGAGGUAGGGGGAGGGGAGAGACAUCCUAUAUAUCAGGUAAGUGAGGUAGGGGCGAGGGGAGAGACAGCCUAUAGAUCAGGUAAGUGAGGAAGGGGGGAGGGAAGAGACAGCCUAUAGAUCAGGUAAGUGAUGGGGGGGAGACAGCCUAUAGAUCAGGUAAGUGAGGGAUGGGGGCAGCCUACAGAUCAGGGAAGUGAGGGAUGGAGGUGGAGAGAAAGCCUGUAGAUCAUGUAAGUGAGGGAUGGGGGAGAGACAGCCUAUAGAUAAGGUAAGUGAGGAAUGGAGGUGGAGAGAAAGCCUGUAGAUCAUGUAAGUGAGGGAUGGGGGGAGAGACAGCCUAUAAUAAGGUAAGUGAGGAAUGGGGGGAGAGACAGCCUAUAGAUCAGGUAAGUGAGAGAUGAGGGGGUGCAGCAUACAGAUCAGGUAAGUGAGGGAUGGAGGGAGAGACAGUCUAUAGAUCAGGUAAGUUAG